UGGGGAAUAUUGCACAAUGGGGGAAACCCUGAUGCAGCGACGCCGCGUGAGCGAAGAAGGCUUUCGAGUCGUAAAGCUCUGUCCUAUGAGAAGAUAAUGACGGUAUCAUAGGAGGAAGCCCUGGCUAAAUACGUGCUAGCAGCCGCGGUAAUACGUAUGGGGCGAGCGUUGUCCGGAAUUAUUGGGCGUAAAGGGUACGUAGGCGGUUUUUUAAGUCAGGUGUCAAAGCGUGGAGCUUAACUCCAUUAAGCACUUGAAACUGAAAGACUUGAGUGAAGGAGAGGAAAGUGGAAUUCCUAGUGUAGCGGUGAAAUGCGUAGAUAUUAGGAGGAAUACCGGUGGCGAAGGCGACUUUCUGGACUUUUACUGACGCUCAGGUACGAAAGCGUGGGGAGCAAACAGG
rnacentral:rRNA from 1 species